UAGUCUCUGUAUUGGCAAAGUCUGUCUGUUAUGGCAGGUUGCCUCGGCAAUGGCAGGCUGUGAUAGCAAUGGGAGUAUACUCCCAUUGGGGCGGAUUGCCUCGGCAAUGAAGGACGCCCCUCCCCCAUUGAGCUGCGUCAUCCCAGGCUCUGUUGUGUUCACAGUGAAACUCUCAAACCCAGGUUGGGAGAUGGAGAAGGAAGGGAGACAGAAACUACAGCCUGAUCUUGAAAAGUUUCUUCCAAGCUAAGUGCAAAAUCGGAAAGAGAAAUGCUUAGAAAUGUUUGCCACAAGAGAUGUUAAAUUGCAGUGAAAUCAUCAAAAAGAAGACACUUGAAAAGAGAAGUAAAUAUGAAAUAAGAGACACUGAUUAUAAAAUUGCCCAAAAAGCUAUUCAGCUGGAAAUUGUUCUUAUAAGUUAAUUAUUAUGCAUGAAAUUGUUAUGAAAUCUGAAACAAUUUGAGUCCAGCACUGAAAAGUAAUAAAAUUAAAAUGUAUUCCUCAUUCAGUGGAUUUAAUAUACUCCAUAAAACUUUGGCAUAGUAAGGCUCAGAAGUUCUGCAGUCAAUAUUUAUUAGGCUGCUCACCUGACUCCACCUUGCACCCUUCUCUCAGCUCAUGAAAUAACAGUAUCUUUCUUACAUGUGUUUGAACGUUGGAAAAUAUAAUUUAAGUAGAAU